rnacentral:rRNA from 1 species
AGAGUUUGAUCCUGGCUCAGGAUGAACGCUGGCGGCGUGCUUAACACAUGCAAGUCGAACGAAGCACUUGAGAUUGAUUCUUCGGAAGAUUUCUCUUGUGACUUAGUGGCGGACGGGUGAGUAACGCGUGGGUAACCUGCCUCACACAGGGGGAUAACAGUUGGAAACGACCGCUAAUACCGCAUAACCCGCUAGGGCCGCAUGGCCCGGACGGAAAAGAUUUAUCGGUGUGAGAUGGACCCGCGUUGGAUUAGCUAGUUGGCAGGGUAACGGCCUACCAAGGCGACGAUCCAUAGCCGGCCUGAGAGGGUGAACGGCCACAUUGGGACUGAGACACGGCCCAAACUCCUACGGGAGGCAGCAGUGGGGAAUAUUGCACAAUGGGGGAAACCCUGAUGCAGCGACGCCGCGUGAGUGAAGAAGUAUUUCGGUAUGUAAAGCUCUAUCAGCAGGGAAGAAAAUGACGGUACCUGACUAAGAAGCCCCGGCUAACUACGUGCCAGCAGCCGCGGUAAUACGUAGGGGGCAAGCGUUAUCCGGAUUUACUGGGUGUAAAGGGAGCGUAGACGGUUAAGCAAGUCAGAAGUGAAAGGCUGGGGCUCAACCCCGGGACUGCUUUUGAAACUGUUUAACUAGAGUGCUGGAGAGGUAAGCGGAAUUCCUAGUGUAGCGGUGAAAUGCGUAGAUAUUAGGAAGAACACCAGUGGCGAAGGCGAUUUGCUGGACACUAACUGACGCUGAGGCGCGAAAGCGUGGGGAGCAAACAGGAUUAGAUACCCUGGUAGUCCACGCCGUAAACGAUGGAUACUAGGUGUGGGGGGUCUGACCCCCUCCGUGCCGCAGUUAACACAAUAAGUAUCCCACCUGGGGAGUACGAUCGCAAGGUUGAAACUCAAAGGAAUUGACGGGGGCCCGCACAAGCGGUGGAGUAUGUGGUUUAAUUCGAAGCAACGCGAAGAACCUUACCAGGUCUUGACAUCCCGAUGACCGGUGUAGAGAUACACCUUCUCUUCGGAGCAUCGGUGACAGGUGGUGCAUGGUUGUCGUCAGCUCGUGUCGUGAGAUGUUGGGUUAAGUCCCGCAACGAGCGCAACCCUUGUUGCUAGUUGCUACGCAAGAGCACUCUAGCGAUACUGCCGUUGACAAAACGGAGGAAGGUGGGGACGACGUCAAAUCAUCAUGCCCCUUAUGACCUGGGCCACACACGUACUACAAUGGCGGUUAACAGAGGGAAGCAAUACCGCGAGGUGGAGCAAAUCCCUAAAAGCCGUCCCAGUUCGGAUUGCAGGCUGCAACCCGCCUGCAUGAAGUCGGAAUCGCUAGUAAUCGCGGAUCAGCAUGCCGCGGUGAAUACGUUCCCGGGCCUUGUACACACCGCCCGUCACACCAUGAGAGUCGGGAACACCCGAAGUCCGUAGCCUAACCGCAAGGGGGGCGCGGCCGAAGGUGGGUUCGAUAAUUGGGGUGAAGUCGUAACAAGGUA